rnacentral:sRNA from 1 species
UGCGCUGUACUUGCCAGCAGUGAUUUGC